GGUUAAGCGACUAAGCGUACACGGUGGAUGCCCUGGCAGUCAGAGGCGAUGAAGGACGUGCUAAUCUGCGAAAAGCGCCGGCGAGGUGAUAUGAACCUUUGACCCGGCGAUGUCCGAAUGGGGAAACCCAGUGCAAUUCGUUGCACUAUCGUUAACUGAAUACAUAGGUUAACGAGGCGAACCGGGGGAACUGAAACAUCUAAGUACCCCGAGGAAAAGAAAUCAACCGAGAUUCCCCCAGUAGCGGCGAGCGAACGGGGAGCAGCCCAGAGUCUGAAUCAGCUUGUGUGUUAGUGGAAGCGUCUGGAAAGUCGCACGGUACAGGGUGACAGUCCCGUACACGAAAGCACACAGGUUGUGAACUCGAAGAGUAGGGCGGGACACGUGGUAUCCUGUCUGAAUAUGGGGGGACCAUCCUCCAAGGCUAAAUACUCCUGACUGACCGAUAGUGAACCAGUACCGUGAGGGAAAGGCGAAAAGAACCCCGGCGAGGGGAGUGAAAAAGAACCUGAAACCGUGUACGUACAAGCAGUGGGAGCACCUUCGUGGUGUGACUGCGUACCUUUUGUAUAAUGGGUCAGCGACUUAUAUUCUGUAGCAAGGUUAACCGUAUAGGGGAGCCGAAGGGAAACCGAGUCUUAACUGGGCGUUAAGUUGCAGGGUAUAGACCCGAAACCCGGUGAUCUAGCCAUGGGCAGGUUGAAGGUUGGGUAACACUAACUGGAGGACCGAACCGACUAAUGUUGAAAAAUUAGCGGAUGACUUGUGGCUGGGGGUGAAAGGCCAAUCAAACCGGGAGAUAGCUGGUUCUCCCCGAAAGCUAUUUAGGUAGCGCCUCGUGAACUCAUCUUCGGGGGUAGAGCACUGUUUCGGCUAGGGGGCCAUCCCGGCUUACCAACCCGAUGCAAACUACGAAUACCGAAGAAUGUUAUCACGGGAGACACACGGCGGGUGCUAACGUCCGUCGUGAAGAGGGAAACAACCCAGACCGCCAGCUAAGGUCCCAAAGUCAUGGUUAAGUGGGAAACGAUGUGGGAAGGCACAGACAGCCAGGAUGUUGGCUUAGAAGCAGCCAUCAUUUAAAGAAAGCGUAAUAGCUCACUGGUCGAGUCGGCCUGCGCGGAAGAUGUAACGGGGCUAAACCAUGCACCGAAGCUGCGGCAGCGACGCUUAUGCGUUGUUGGGUAGGGGAGCGUUCUGUAAGCCGUUGAAGGUGUGCUGUGAGGCAUGCUGGAGGUAUCAGAAGUGCGAAUGCUGACAUAAGUAACGAUAAAGCGGGUGAAAAGCCCGCUCGCCGGAAGACCAAGGGUUCCUGUCCAACGUUAAUCGGGGCAGGGUGAGUCGACCCCUAAGGCGAGGCCGAAAGGCGUAGUCGAUGGGAAACAGGUUAAUAUUCCUGUACUUGGUGUUACUGCGAAGGGGGGACGGAGAAGGCUAUGUUAGCCGGGCGACGGUUGUCCCGGUUUAAGCAUGUAGGCGGAGGUUCCAGGUAAAUCCGGUACCUUAUUAACGCUGAGGUGUGAUGACGAGGCACUACGGUGCUGAAGUAACAAAUGCCCUGCUUCCAGGAAAAGCCUCUAAGCAUCAGGUAACACGAAAUCGUACCCCAAACCGACACAGGUGGUCAGGUAGAGAAUACCAAGGCGCUUGAGAGAACUCGGGUGAAGGAACUAGGCAAAAUGGUGCCGUAACUUCGGGAGAAGGCACGCUGAUAUGUAGGUGAAGCCCCUGCGGGUGGAGCUGAAAUCAGUCGAAGAUACCAGCUGGCUGCAACUGUUUAUUAAAAACACAGCACUGUGCAAACACGAAAGUGGACGUAUACGGUGUGACGCCUGCCCGGUGCCGGAAGGUUAAUUGAUGGGGUUAGCGGUAACGCGAAGCUCUUGAUCGAAGCCCCGGUAAACGGCGGCCGUAACUAUAACGGUCCUAAGGUAGCGAAAUUCCUUGUCGGGUAAGUUCCGACCUGCACGAAUGGCGUAAUGAUGGCCAGGCUGUCUCCACCCGAGACUCAGUGAAAUUGAACUCGCUGUGAAGAUGCAGUGUACCCGCGGCAAGACGGAAAGACCCCGUGAACCUUUACUAUAGCUUGACACUGAACACUGGUCCUUGAUGUGUAGGAUAGGUGGGAGGCUUUGAAGCGUGGACGCCAGUCUGCGUGGAGCCAACCUUGAAAUACCACCCUUUAAUGGCUGGUGUUCUAACGUAGACCCGUGAUCCGGGUUGCGGACAGUGUCUGGUGGGUAGUUUGACUGGGGCGGUCUCCUCCCAAAGAGUAACGGAGGAGCACGAAGGUUAGCUAAUCCUGGUCGGACAUCAGGAGGUUAGUGCAAUGGCAUAAGCUAGCUUGACUGCGAGAGUGACGGCUCGAGCAGGUGCGAAAGCAGGUCAUAGUGAUCCGGUGGUUCUGAAUGGAAGGGCCAUCGCUCAACGGAUAAAAGGUACUCCGGGGAUAACAGGCUGAUACCGCCCAAGAGUUCAUAUCGACGGCGGUGUUUGGCACCUCGAUGUCGGCUCAUCACAUCCUGGGGCUGAAGUAGGUCCCAAGGGUAUGGCUGUUCGCCAUUUAAAGUGGUACGCGAGCUGGGUUUAGAACGUCGUGAGACAGUUCGGUCCCUAUCUGCCGUGGGCGCUGGAGAAUUGAGGGGGGCUGCUCCUAGUACGAGAGGACCGGAGUGGACGCAUCACUGGUGUUCGGGUUGUCAUGCCAAUGGCACUGCCCGGUAGCUAAAUGCGGAAAAGAUAAGUGCUGAAAGCAUCUAAGCACGAAACUUGCCCCGAGAUGAGUUCUCCCUGACCCUUUAAGGGUCCUGAAGGAACGUUGAAGACUACGACGUUGAUAGGUCGGGUGUGUAAGCGCAGCGAUGCGUUGAGCUAACCGAUACUAAUGAACCGUGAGGCUUAACCUU
rnacentral:rRNA from 1 species